UCUGAACGACGCCAGCGGAGGGACAUU
rnacentral:rRNA from 1 species